AUUGGACGCUGGCGGCAUGCCUUACACAUGCAAGUCGAACGGCAGCAUGAUCUAGCUUGCUAGAUUGAUGGCGAGUGGCGAACGGGUGAGUAAUACAUCGGAACGUGCCCUGUAGUGGGGGAUAACUAGUCGAAAGAUUAGCUAAUACCGCAUACGACCUGAGGGUGAAAGUGGGGGACCGCAAGGCCUCAUGCUAUAGGAGCGGCCGAUGUCUGAUUAGCUAGUUGGUGGGGUAAAGGCCCACCAAGGCGACGAUCAGUAGCUGGUCUGAGAGGACGAUCAGCCACACUGGGACUGAGACACGGCCCAGACUCCUACGGGAGGCAGCAGUGGGGAAUUUUGGACAAUGGGGGAAACCCUGAUCCAGCAAUGCCGCGUGUGUGAAGAAGGCCUUCGGGUUGUAAAGCACUUUUGUCCGGAAAGAAAUCGCACUUACUAAUAUUAGGUGUGGAUGACGGUACCGGAAGAAUAAGGACCGGCUAACUACGUG
rnacentral:rRNA from 1 species